GAAUAUGGGGGGCCCAUCCUCCAAGGCUAAAUACUCCUGACUGACCGAUAGUGAACCAGUACCGUGAGGGAAAGGCGAAAAGAACCCCGGCGAGGGGAGUGAAAAAGAACCUGAAACCGUGUACGUACAAGCAGUGGGAGCACGCUUAGGCGUGUGACUGCGUACCUUUUGUAUAAUGGGUCAGCGACUUAUAUUCUGUAGCAAGGUUAACCGAAUAGGGGAGCCGAAGGGAAACCGAGUCUUAACUGGGCGUUAAGUUGCAGGGUAUAGACCCGAAACCCGGUGAUCUAGCCAUGGGCAGGUUGAAGGUUGGGUAACACUAACUGGAGGACCGAACCGACUAAUGUUGAAAAAUUAGCGGAUGACUUGUGGCUGGGGGUGAAAGGCCAAUCAAACCGGGAGAUAGCUGGUUCUCCCCGAAAGCUAUUUAGGUAGCGCCUCGUGAAUUCAUCUCCGGGGGUAGAGCACUGUUUCGGCAAGGGGGUCAUCCCGACUUACCAACCCGAUGCAAACUGCGAAUACCGGAGAAUGUUAUCACGGGAGACACACGGCGGGUGCUAACGUCCGUCGUGAAGAGGGAAACAACCCAGACCGCCAGCUAAGGUCCCAAAGUCAUGGUUAAGUGGGAAACGAUGUGGGAAGGCCCAGACAGCCAGGAUGUUGGCUUAGAAGCAGCCAUCAUUUAAAGAAAGCGUAAUAGCUCACUGGUCGAGUCGGCCUGCGCGGAAGAUGUAACGGGGCUAAACCAUGCACCGAAGCUGCGGCAGCGACGCUUAUGCGUUGUUGGGUAGGGGAGCGUUCUGUAAGCCUGCGAAGGUGUGCUGUGAGGCAUGCUGGAGGUAUCAGAAGUGCGAAUGCUGACAUAAGUAACGAUAAAGCGGGUGAAAAGCCCGCUCGCCGGAAGACCAAGGGUUCCUGUCCAACGUUAAUCGGGGCAGGGUGAGUCGACCCCUAAGGCGAGGCCGAAAGGCGUAGUCGAUGGGAAACAGGUUAAUAUUCCUGUACUUGGUGUUACUGCGAAGGGGGGACGGAGAAGGCUAUGUUGGCCGGGCGACGGUUGUCCCGGUUUAAGCGUGUAGGCUGGUUUUCCAGGCAAAUCCGGAAAAUCAAGGCUGAGGCGUGAUGACGAGGCACUACGGUGCUGAAGCAACAAAUGCCCUGCUUCCAGGAAAAGCCUCUAAGCAUCAGGUAACAUCAAAUCGUACCCCAAACCGACACAGGUGGUCAGGUAGAGAAUACCAAGGCGCUUGAGAGAACUCGGGUGAAGGAACUAGGCAAAAUGGUGCCGUAACUUCGGGAGAAGGCACGCUGAUAUGUAGGUGAAGUCCCUUGCGGAUGGAGCUGAAAUCAGUCGAAGAUACCAGCUGGCUGCAACUGUUUAUUAAAAACACAGCACUGUGCAAACACGAAAGUGGACGUAUACGGUGUGACGCCUGCCCGGUGCCGGAAGGUUAAUUGAUGGGGUCAGCGCAAGCGAAGCUCUUGAUCGAAGCCCCGGUAAACGGCGGCCGUAACUAUAACGGUCCUAAGGUAGCGAAAUUCCUUGUCGGGUAAGUUCCGACCUGCACGAAUGGCGUAAUGAUGGCCAGGCUGUCUCCACCCGAGACUCAGUGAAAUUGAACUCGCUGUGAAGAUGCAGUGUACCCGCGGCAAGACGGAAAGACCCCGUGAACCUUUACUAUAGCUUGACACUGAACAUUGAGCCUUGAUGUGUAGGAUAGGUGGGAGGCUUUGAAGUGUGGACGCCAGUCUGCAUGGAGCCGGCCUUGAAAUACCACCCUUUAAUGUUUGAUGUUCUAACGUGGACCCGUGAUCCGGGUUGCGGACAGUGUCUGGUGGGUAGUUUGACUGGGGCGGUCUCCUCCUAAAGAGUAACGGAGGAGCACGAAGGUUGGCUAAUCCUGGUCGGACAUCAGGAGGUUAGUGCAAUGGCAUAAGCCAGCUUGACUGCGAGCGUGACGGCGCGAGCAGGUGCGAAAGCAGGUCAUAGUGAUCCGGUGGUUCUGAAUGGAAGGGCCAUCGCUCAACGGAUAAAAGGUACUCCGGGGAUAACAGGCUGAUACCGCCCAAGAGUUCAUAUCGACGGCGGUGUUUGGCACCUCGAUGUCGGCUCAUCACAUCCUGGGGCUGAAGUAGGUCCCAAGGGUAUGGCUGUUCGCCAUUUAAAGUGGUACGCGAGCUGGGUUUAGAACGUCGUGAGACAGUUCGGUCCCUAUCUGCCGUGGGCGCUGGAGAACUGAGGGGGGCUGCUCCUAGUACGAGAGGACCGGAGUGGACGCAUCACUGGUGUUCGGGUUGUCAUGCCAAUGGCACUGCCCGGUAGCUAAAUGCGGAAGAGAUAAGUGCUGAAAGCAUCUAAGCACGAAACUUGCCCCGAGAUGAGUUCUCCCUGACCCUUUAAGGGUCCUGAAGGAACGUUGAAGACGACGACGUUGAUAGGCCGGGUGUGUAAGCGCAGCGAUGCGUUGAGCUAACCGGUACUAAUGAACCGUGAGG
rnacentral:rRNA from 1 species